rnacentral:rRNA from 1 species
GGCCUAAUACAUGCAAGUCGAACGGUGAUAGCAAUAUCAUAGUGGCGCACGGGUGCGUAACACGUAUGCAACCUACCUUAUACUUAGGGAUAGCCUUUGGAAACGGAGAUUAAUACCUAAUAGUACAUUUGACUGGCAUCGGUUAACUGUUAAAGAUUUAUUGGUAUAAGAUGGGCAUGCGUCCAAUUAGUUAGUUGGUGAGGUAAUGGCUCACCAAGACGAUGAUUGGUAGGGGAACUGAGAGGUUAAUCCCCCACACUGGCACUGAGAUACGGGCCAGACUCCUACGGGAGGCAGCAGUAGGGAAUAUUGGGCAAUGGAGGGAACUCUGACCCAGCCAUGCCGCGUGCAGGAUGAAGGCGUUAUGCGUUUAAACUGC